AAAACAUUUUGCAGAGUGACUUCAUUACAAGUACAGAUGAAUAAGUGUGAAGUAAUGGAAAUAAUUUAACAUCAGAAAUGCUGUCUUCCCAUGGUGCCCAGAACGACUUUAUUUGAAACUGUGUUGAAGUGCGGUGGGAAGAGGGCGAACGCAGAGGCAGAGAAGAAGCCUUGGCCGAAGAGGAUUCGGAGGGAACCAGCUUGGCUGCAGCUCAGAGGCUCCGCAAGUACCAGCCGCACAUCUUGUAGGAAGACGCUGGCUCCAUCUUCAAAGGCCCUGGGACUUGUCAAUGAGGCGCUGCACGGCCGCUAGUUGGUGUCUAAGGUCAUCAACUUCCACCUGUAGCAGGAUGCACCGAGGACAGCCCUGGGCCUCCGGGGCUGCUGCUGCCUUUCCCGGUCUUGGGGGAUGGACAGGCCCCCGCUGCUCACGGGGUCUGGGCACGCGACGCCUCACGCUCCAAGCCGAGGGUUGUGAGGUUCCUGGAACUUGAGGAGCUCUGGUGAGGUCACCACUGCUGCAUUCUGCACGACGUACGGACAGGGAAGUCAUCGCUGGCUUGUGUGUGGGAAGUUGGGCCCUUGGGACCUCAUGUCUAUUUGGGUCAUUAUCUUCUCUGGCCGCAGCCUGGGACCCCCCAGUCUUCCUGCCGAUGUCUUCCCAGGGCUGCAGUGCACGAGCUCCUCGGGUGUCCCCAGGAUCGAGACCCGCACCAGAGACUGCCGGGGAGCUGGCCGGAUCCUGCGGAUUUGUUGAGAGUCUCUGCCCCAGGCAAGAAAGGGUCUUAGGGGCCGGUUUUGGCAUCCCCGCUAGGGAUUUCUUCUCUUGGGCCCCCUUUCUUCCUGGAGAGCCCCAGGGCACUGGCCCUGUAAUGGCAGCUCCUGAGCAGCUGGGCCUGGACCCCCACCUUUCGCCAGACGGUGCUCUGCAUUUUCUUCAAGGAAGACGCGUCCAGCCUCUCCACGCCUGGACUGAGUCUGCGGGGAGCAGAGGUCAGGAGAGAGUCCUGAACGUGAAGGCUACUCUCCCUGCGGUGGAAACUGGGGCGUCUGCAAAUGUCUGCUGGCUUCCUGGGGCUCCCUGGCUUGACCUGGUUCCCUUCUUUGCUGCGAGUGAUCACCCUAAUCACUGA
rnacentral:lncRNA from 13 species